GGGUCAGUAGGUUGGUCGUGCCACCGGUACGUACUGGUCUCACUGAUUCCUCCUUCCUGAAGGACCGUAAUGCCAUUAAUUUGGUGUUGCGGGGAAACAGGACUGCUACUUUGAAAAAAUUAGAGUGUUUAAAGCAAGCCAACGCUUGAAUACAUUAGCAUGGAAUAAUGGAAUAGGACGAUCGAUCCUAUUUUGUUGGUUUCUAGGAUUGACGUA
rnacentral:rRNA from 1 species